rnacentral:RNase_P_RNA from 1 species
UCAGAUGGCCGGAUGGCCGCUGCAUUCGUGCAGAGGAAAGUCCGGGCUCCACGGAAACACGGUGCCGGAUAACGUCCGGCGGGGGCGACCCCAGGGAAAGUGCCACAGAAAGCAAACCGCCGGACCCAGGUCCGGUAAGGGUGAAAGGGUGCGGUAAGAGCGCACCGCGCGGACGGUAACGGACGCGGCACGGCAAACCCCACCGGGAGCAAGACCAAAUAGGGGCGGCA